CUGCACAAACAUGCCCAGGCUUAACUGGUGUGUUAUAAUUACAAAUCUGUUGAUUUCUACCGCCAUUUGGUAAUGUCGACGAAUUAAUAUAUUCUACGGAAAAUGGGCAAUAUUAAUCGUGAUAAUAUCGUGAUAAUUUCUUUAACAUCCCGUCCACUUCUGCACCGAGUUGGGAUCUGAUGAACUAUACCAAAUUAAGGAUCUUUCAUCAGUAUUUUCGGAAAUCGGCCGAAAUCCUAGACCUAUGAACAAUUAAAGAUAUCCUACUGUUAGUCAUUAUAUAAUAAUGGUAUUCGCGGUACUUUCUCAAAUGGAUAUGAAAAAGAUUUAUUUGCAAAAGUGAUAUCGUAUGGAGAAGACUAUGCUAGUAAUCACUUUCUUGUAAGUGGGAAAUUUAUAGAAAUUUCAAGGUCAGCAUUAGCUUUUUGAAUUAUACGUGAAUAACAUAAAGUUAAAUAUAUCAUUUUGUUUUAUACGAUCGAUGCAUUUGUUGUGCAUGUACUUACUAUCUUUGAUUAUCGAAAUUAGUGUUCGAUUUUCAUGCAAGUGACCAGCAUGAUAUAAGGAACAACGAGUUGAUUUUCACUUUUAUGAAGUAUAUUUAUAUUUUUUCAAAUAUAUAGUAGAGAAUAUAUAAAUUUACCUGGA